UACGUAGGGGGCGAGCGUUGUCCGGAAUCACUGGGCGUAAAGGGCGCGUAGGCGGUCAGCUAAGUCUGGUGUCAAAGCCCACGGCUUAACCGUGGAGGGGCACUGGAAACUGGCUGACUUGAGUGCAGGAGAGGGAAGCGGAAUUCCACGUGUAGCGGUGAAAUGCGUAGAGAUGUGGAGGAACACCAGUGGCGAAGGCGGCUUCCUGGUCUGUCACUGACGCUGAGGCGCGAGAGCGUGGGGAGCGAAC
rnacentral:rRNA from 1 species